CUUGGUGACUCGUCGGUGGGGAAACACCUCUUCCCAUUCCGAACAGAGUAGUUAAGCCCACUUGAGCCGAUGGUAGUCCUUCGGGGCAAGAGUAGGUAGUCGCCAAGA
rnacentral:rRNA from 1 species